rnacentral:lncRNA from 1 species
CCGUAGCUAAGAAAGGGUGGAGAAGAAACUUCCUUUUGUUGUUAAAAUUUUCGGCUAAGGAGAUUGCUAGAUCAAGGUAUGCACAAUGCUACUCUUGGAAAUUCAUGCAUAAAUUGAAUGGUUAGUUUGAAUUCUACCUAUUUCAUGGCUCAAAUUUUUGUUAUUUUGGAAGAUUGAAAUUCGGCCAAGGAGCUUGAAAUUCUUAGUAGUUGUUUUGAUGUCAUUAGCAUGGAAAUUUAUGUUGGAUGUGUUGAAUUUGCUAGUUGUUUUGGCUUGGAAGUUAAGGUUUAGUGUUUGAUUAUGUGAUUGCCGAAUGUGUGGAUAGUUGAAGGAAAAUUUGUUAAAAUGCUUAGUAAAUGGAUAUUUGGUUAAUAUUGUGUAUAUUAAUUACUUAAAAUAUAAACCUUAAAUGAGUACUAAAGGUUGUAUAUAAAUUCGGCCUUGGGAGAAAUGUUAGUAUAAAAAUGCUUGAAAGUUAAAUAGGUGAUUGCUUUAAUGACCAAAUGUGCCAAAGAAUAAUGCAUGAUCAAGUUGACCAAUAUGUGUUAAGGGAACAUGAAUAAAUAUAUUUCGAUGAGCUAUACAUUCGGUUAUAGUAUGAAAUGCAAUGUUAAUACAUAGUUGCUAGUAUGUAUAUGUGUGCUGGCCGAAUUUGAACUUGAAUAAUGAUUUGAGCACGAUGUAUUGUAUUGAGAUUAUGCUUAAGUGAAAUUGUGAUGAAAUUGAUUGGUGAUAUACAUGGUUAAAUAAUAUGUAAUGCAUUAGUUAGUAAAAUGUAUGCCAUUUAUGUGUGGUAUUAAGUAUAUAAUCGGCCUCAACAUAGACAUGCAUAUUCGGCCAUAGGAAGAAGAUUGGUGUUGCAUGUAUUCGGUUAGAGGCAAGCAUAUUGAUGCUUUUGUCUUGGCUUAGAAAAUUCGGCCAAGGGGGAAUAUUAGCUAAAAUGUUGAGUUUGAUUCAUGAUUCCAUAUAUAUAUGUGACUCUAAUGCCUAAAGUAUAUAUGGGCUAAGUACCUUGAGGUUUUCUUUUGAUGUUCGAAUGAAUUGUAUUAAAUUGCUUGAUGUGAUUAAAAAUGCAUAUGACCAUUGUGUAGUUGAGCUAGAAGGUGGCCAUAUGACCAAUCAAACUCCUUGUCAUAUUCGGCCAUAAGCUAGCAUAAUGAGACUUUAAUAAGUUAAAUUUGUUUGAAUUAGCUCAAGAGCUUAGAGGACCACAGUUGGAUAAGGGAAAGGAAAAAGUGAUCGAAUAGCCGCCGAAAUUGUUCGACCACAUCCGAGGUAAGUUUUAAGUGUUUAAACGUUGAGUAAAUUCAAUUAUAAUAGGACAUGAUGAGUUGAUUUAAUAAUAUAUGAUGUGGCCAUGAUAUGUUCUAAGCUCAAAUGGUAAGUUCUUAAGUGUUUGAGCUUGGGAAUUUAAGGGUAAUUUGAAAUAGUCUGGUUCGGACAGCAGCAGUAACGUGACUUUAGAAAAUGACCAUAAAUUUAUGGACUUGAAUUAGAGGCUGAAUGAGACAUGAAAUUAAAGCUUAAUGAGUCUAGUUUCUUAUAAAAGAAACCGUGUAAGCAAAGGAAUUUCCGAUAAUGAGAUAUUUAAAAUUGUGUGAGACGGUGUCAGAAUGACUCCGAAAUCCCCUGUUCUGUUUUUAGAAAAUCAUUAUAAAUUGUAAAAAAAUGGUUAUAAGAUAAAAUUUAUAUUCUUAGACUCCUUAAUGAGUCUAGUUUCAAAUGAAAUCAAAUACAACACAUUUUUAAUUUUGUAAAAUGAGAAAAUUGAUUCGUAGUGAAGAGUGGUCAGAUUAGUCAAACAGUGAAACAGGGGAAACUUUAAGAAAAAUCUGGUAUUGAUUGGCCAAACCUAAAAUUUUUGAAAUUUUAUGGAUGGAAGAUAUACGAGUCUAUAUUCAGGAAAAAUUAAUGGAAAGUGAUUUGAAGUUUUGUAGCUCCAUUUAUAAAUAAUUUAGUGACUAUUGCUCAGGAAAAACAGCUUGUGCUGAAUUUGAGAUUAUGUUGUGAACCUUGAUAAACUUGUUUUAGUUGCUCACAAGCUAUUGAUUAAACCCAUACUUGAAUCCUAAAUUGUGAUAUUGUAAGUUUAUGAGUAUUCGAAUAAGAAAUGAUAGUAUGGCGUAAUGCCGAUGUGAUGAAUGUGAAAGUGUAUAUAUGUGAUAAGGCCUAAUGGCUGAUGUGAUGAAUGUGAAAGUGUAUAUAUAUGUGAUAGGGCCUAAUGGCCGAUGUGAUGAAUGUGAAAGUGUAUAUAUAUGUGAUAGGGCCUAAUGGCCGAUGUGAUGAAUGUGAAAGUGUAUAUAUAUGUGAUAAGGCCUAAUGGCCGAUGUGAUGAAUUUGAAAGUGUAUAUAUGUGAUACGGCCUAAUGGCCGAUGUGAUGAAUGUGAAAGUGUAUAUAUAUGUGAUAGGGCCUAAUGGCCGAUGUGAUGAAUGUGAAAGUGUAUAUAUAUGUGAUAGGGCCUAAUGGCCGAUGUGAUGAAUGUGAAAGUGUAUAUAUAUGUGGUAAGGCCUAAUGGCCGAUGUGAUGAAUGUGAAAGUGUAUAUAUAUGUGAUAAGGCCUAAUGGCCGAUGUGAUGAAUGUGAAAGUGUAUAUAUGUGAUAAGGCCUAAUGGCCGAUGUGAUGAAUGUGAAAGUGUAUAUAUGUGAUAAGGCCUAAUGGCCGAUGUGAUGAAUGUGAAAGUGUAUAUAUGUGAUAAGGCCUAAUGGCCGAUGUGAUGAAUGUGAAAGUGUAUAUAUAUGUGAUAAGGCCUAAUGGCUGAUGUGAUGAAUGUGAAAGUGUAUAUAUGUGAUAAGGCCUAAUGGCCGAUGUGAUGAAUGUGAAAGUGUAUAUAUGUGACAGGGCCGAGUGGCCAACGUGAUGGAUGUGAAACUGUAUAAAUGUGAUAAGUCCCGAAGGGCAUUUGUGUCAGUACUAUAUCCGGGUUAAAACCCCGCAGGCUUUAUGCGAGAAUAUUAUCACUGAUUAAUGUCCGUAAGCUUCGUGCUCGUACUAUAUCCGAGCUCUAAAGACCCGAUGACUACGUGUGGGGAUUUUGUCCGGGUAAGACCCGAUAACUUCGUGUGGAGAUUAUGUCCGGGUAAGACUUCGUAAUAAGAAUUUCUUAUAAAUAUAUUCAAUGCGAAAGGUUAAACAGGUAUGUACUCCAAGUUUAUAUGUGAGCUUGAUUUGCACUAAAUCAUAAGGUAGUUAUGUGAUGCAUACGAGAGCAAUCUAUGAGACUAUUCCUAUGAUUAUGUGACAUCGGAUCAGUGCGAGAGGUUAUGUGAAAUCAUACGAUAUAUCUAUGUCACAUGAGCUCACUUUUAUGUGAAAGUUUAUCUGCCUAUUGUAUAUGAUGAGAUGUGCAUAUUCGGUAUAGGGAUGGUAUGCCCGAAGGAAGAGUGAAAUAAAAAAAAAUACGAACAACUAUGUUAUAAUUUGAUUGUUAUCUGUUGACACUGCUUAAAACUUACUAAGCAUUAAAUGCUUACUCCGUUCUUUGAAUCUCUGUUUUAUAGAUUUUGGUUCGUCAGCUAUCGGACUCGGGAUUUUUGGAAGUCGAAGUCUCCCACACUAUCAAAGCCCCCUUUUGGUACAAUUUUGGUUGAACUUUGAAAUGGCAUGUAUAGGACUACCCUUUUUGUUGUGGGUCAUGGACCCUUUGGAUUUGUAUAAUUUUGGAUAGCCAUGCGAAAAUGGCUUAUAUAUGUUUGAGCAUAAUGUUAUAAUCAUUUGGUAUGGAUAUGGUUAUUGAGAGGUGUGGGUAUGCUUAACAAGGAUUGGCCAUGGGAAUGGUUAAUCACUAUCAUAAUUUGUGCUAUUUAUGCUAAAAGGGCUAGUUGAAUCAUGGAAACUAUGAAAUAGGUAAAGUCUACCUUAAAGGCAGAUGCUGACAGCAGCAGUGAUGUAGAUUUGGAAAAUCACUAAAAAUAGUAGGAAUGGAAUUAAAUAGUGAAUAAAUUAUGUAAAUGAACCUUGAUGAAUCUAUUUUCAUAGGAAAGUAACGAAACGAUCAUAUGGACAGUAUGUUAAGAGAUAUUCAGGUUCUCGUGAGACAGGGCCAGAACGGUUUCUGGAUUCCCUGUUCCGAGUUUGGAAAUUCAUUAUAAAUUAACCAAAGAUAAUUAGGAGUCAUUCCAUAUAUGUAUAGAUUCCUCUCUGAGUCUAGUUUCUAUAGAAACAAACGGCAUCAGUAUGGAAGCUCUUUGCAGGGAGAUAUCCAAGUCGUAAUGCGCAAAGGUCAGUGUAAUCGAUCCCUGCAACAUGGGAGACUUUGACUAAUAAACUAUACUAAUUGGCCCAACCAAAAAUUCUAGAAAAAAAUAUGUAUAUGGGCAUAUAAGUCUAGUUUCAGGGAAAAAUUACGAAACUGAUUUUCGAGUUGUGAAACUCAAGAUAUAAUUUUUAAGGUGACAGUGACGCAGUUAGCCAACUGCCUGGAAAUUUUUAAAAUGGACUGCGAUAGUAAGCGAAUUUAGUCUGUGAACCCCUCGUGUCCGACUCCGACAAUGGUCUCGGGUACGGGGUGUUACAAUUUUAUUGGUAUCAGAGCUACGGUUUAGUCGAUUCUAGGACUACCGUAAUACGUUUGGGUCUAGCUAUACAUGCCAUUAUGUGAAUAUUUGAUAGUGUGGUGAUUUCUGACAAUUGAAAAUGUGUUUAUUUAUUGUAAUGAAUUCCGAUCCCGAUCGAGCUGUAGCAGAUGGUAUUGAGAGGACUGAGACAUGCUUAUGAUAUGUCAAUAUUGAGAAGGGUAUAACAUAAGUAAGUUCUUGAGUAAUAGAGCUUAAAUUAUGAUUUGAUUAGAUCAUGUUUUAAGCAAAUCAAAAUCGUGCUCUUUGUGUGUGGCUAUUGAGCCGAAAUGGCAAGAGUGAUAAGUGUCUUGUGUUUGAGUUUUGCUAAUGAAAAUGAAAUACGAAUGUGUCAUGAUUUAUUGUUAAAUGUGCAUGGUUAUUUGAAUGAUGUCCGGGCUAAGUCCCGAAGGCUUUGUGCUAAGUGACCAUAUCCGGACUAAGAUCCGAAGGCAUUUGUGCGAGAUACUAAUUCCGGGCUAAGCCCGAAGGCAUUUGUGCGAGUUACUAAAUCCGGGUUAAGUCCCGAAGAGCAUUCAUGCUAGUGAUGUAUCCGGGUUAAGUCCCGAAGAGCAUUCAUGCUAGUGAUGUAUCCGGGUUAAGUCCCGAAGAGCAUUCAUGCUAGUGAUGUAUCCGGGCUAAGUUCCGAAGAGCAUUCAUGCUAGUGAUGUAUCUGGGCUAAGUCUCGAAGAGCAUUCGUGCUAGUGAUGUAUCUGGGCUAAGUCUCGAAGAGCAUUCGUGCUAGUGAUGUAUCCGGGCUAAGUCCCGAAGAGCAUUCGUGCUAGUGAUAUAUCCGUGCUAAACCCCGAAGAGCAUUCGUGCUGGUGUUAUAUCCGGGCUAGGUCUCGAAGAGCAAUCAUGCUGGUGACGUGUAUUCGGGCCUUCGUGCCUAGUAGGCUUCGUGCCUGUAAUUUGAGCAAAGUUUAAGUGUUCAUUACUAUACGAAUUCAAAUUUAAAUGAGAUGAUAUGUUUACAAGUGUACAUACAUGAUGUUUAUAGACUUGGUUAAGUCAUUUCAAUGUGUAAUAACGAAUGAAUAAGAGCACUAUGUGUGUGAAUGAUUAGAGGCACUGUGUGUGUGCGAAUUCCUUUAACCGAGCACUAUGAGUGCGAGAUCGGUCAGUGGGCACUAAGUGUGUGAAGUGGAAUUCAUGUAAGACCUCGUCUGGGACGAAGGCAUUGAUUUGAGAUAGUGUGUAAGACCAUGUCUGGGACAUGGCAUCGGCUCGAUGUGUGAGCAUAUGUAAGACCAUAUCUAGGAUAUGGCAUUGUAAGAGCUAUAUGUGCUUAAUGAGUAUCCGUAAUGAUUUCGAAUGAUUCAACGGGUAUCGUUAACAGUGAUUAAAUGUGCUAAAUGAACUCAAUGUUCAGGUAUGUGGAAGUUGAUUUUCUGUUGGAAAUAGGUUAAGUUGAAUAGUGAGAUAUGAUGGAGUGAGAAAGGAUAUUUAUUGGGAUGUUUGAGUAUAUGUGUACUUUCGGUCAGGUUACAGCUUAUACUUGAAUGAAAACGUGGGUUACAAAUAUGUGGGUUGAUGAUGUGAAUUAUACAUAUUAAUAUGUGCUUAAUAUGUGUUUGAGAUGCAAUUGUGAAUUAAAUUAAGUGAUUAUUACUUAUGAAAUCAAGAAAAUGAGAUAUAUGUGCAUACUUGUAGAAAUGUUUAUGUAUUUGUUUUAAGAUAAGAAAAUGAUUUUAUAGAUCGAUGCGAAAUCAAUAAUGAAUUACAAUUGCCAUCGAUGAGCUAAUGUUUAUAUGAAUAUAAUUCAAUAAGAGGACGUUAUCCUAAACUAUGCAUCGGUAGAAAUUUUCGGGGACGAAAAUCCCUAAAGGGGGGAAGAGUUGUGACACCCCUAAUUUGACCCUAGUCGGGAAGUGGUUUCGGGACCGCUAAACCGAGUUGCAGAAAUAAUUGAAUAUAAUAUUUUAUGUCUAAAAUAUGUGAUCAUGCAUGUGUGAAAUUUGAAUGCUUUGAUUUUUGUCAAUUUGAAUGUGUUACUAAAUAAAAAGGACUUAUGUGAGAAGCUUUGAAUAUAUGUGUGGCUUAUUUUAAGUGAUUAGUUAUUGAAUGAUGCAAAUAAGUGGGUUUGCAUGCCAAUUUGCCACUUAUAAUGCUAGUGGCCGGCCAAGCUCAUAAGUAUGGGCAUUAUAUGCAUGGUUUAGUAUUAUUAUAUUUAUUAGUGGUGAGAAAUAUGUAAUAAAAAAAUGUAUUAAAUGAAUUAAAGAUGAAUAAAAGAGUAUGGGUAAUAAAAAUAAUGUGUUAGUGGGAGGAGAAACCAAAGUUGGUUUAUUCCUCCAUUGCCGUAGCUAAGAAAGGGUGGAGAAGAAACUUCCUUUUGUUGUUAAAAUUUUCGGCUAAGGAGAUUGCUAGAUCAAGGUAUGCACAAUGCUACUCUUGGAAAUUCAUGCAUAAAUUGAAUGGUUAGUUUGAAUUUUACCUAUUUCAUGGCUCAAAUUUUUGUUAUUUUGGAAGAUUGAAAUUCGGCCAAGGAGCUUGAAAUUCUUAGUAGUUGUUUUGAUGUCAUUAGCAUGGAAAUUUAUGUUGGAUGUGUUGAAUUUGCUAGUUGUUUUGGCUUGGAAGUUAAGGUUUAGUGUUUGAUUAUGUGAUUGCCGAAUGUGUGGAUAGUUGAAGGAAAAUUUGUUAAAAUGCUUAGUAAAUGGAUAUUUGGUUAAUAUUGUGUAUAUUAAUUACUUAAAAUAUAAACCUUAAAUGAGUACUAAAGGUUGUAUAUAAAUUCGGCCUUGGGAGAAAUGUUAGUAUAAAAAUGCUUGAAAGUUAAAUAGGUGAUUGCUUUAAUGACCAAAUGUGCCAAAGAAUAAUGCAUGAUCUAGUUGACCAAUAUGUGUUAAGGGAACAUGAAUAAAUAUAUUUCGAUGAGCUAUACAUUCGGUUAUAGUAUGAAAUGCAAUGUUAAUACAUAGUUGCUAGUAUGUAUAUGUGUGCUGGCCGAAUUUGAACUUGAAUAAUGAUUUGAGCACGAUGUAUUGUAUUGAGAUUAUGCUUAAGUGAAAUUGUGAUGAAAUUGAUUGGUGAUAUACAUGGUUAAAUAAUAUGUAAUGCAUUAGUUAGUAAAAUGUAUGCCAUUUAUGUGUGGUAUUAAGUAUAUAAUCGGCCUCAAC